rnacentral:tRNA from 1 species
GGGAAGGUAGCUCAGUGGUAGAGUGCAUGCUUUGCAAGCAUGAGGCCCUGGGUUUGAUUCCUCAGCACCA